ACGGCUCAGUAACACGUGGACAACCUACCCUGAGGUCGGGGAUAAACCCGGGAAACUGGGUAUAAUACCCGAUAGAUCUAGAUCGCUGGAAUGCUUUUAGGUCUAAAGUUCCGACGCCUCAGGAUGGGUCUGCGGCCUAUCAGGGUAGUAGUGGGUGUAAAGUACCUACUAGCCUACGACGGGUACGGGUUGUGAGAGCAAGAGCCCGGAGAUGGAUUCUGAGACACGAAUCCAGGCCCUACGGGGUGCAGCAGGCGCGAAACCUUUACAAUGCUGGCAACAGCGAUAAGGGGACCUCGAGUGCUACGAUACAAUCGUGGCUGUCUAGCUGCCUAAAAAGCAAUUGAUAGCAAGGGCCGGGCAAGACCGGUGCCAGCCGCCGCGGUAACACCGGCGGCUCGAGUGGUAACCGCUAUUAUUGGGUCUAAAGGGUCUGUAGCCGGCUUAGUUAGUCUCUUGAGAAAUCUGGCCGCUCAACGGUCAGGCGUUCAGGGGAUACUGCUAAAGCUCGAGACCGGGAGAGGUGAGAGGUACUUCAGGGGUAGGGGUGAAAUCUUGUAAUCCUUGAAGGACCACCAGUGGCGAAGGCGUCUCACCAGAACGGAUCUGACGGCAAGGGACGAAAGCUAGGGGCACGAACCGGAUUAGAUACCCGGGUAGUCCUAGCCGUAAACGAUACUCGCUAGGUGUCGGCCACGGUGCGACCGUGGUCGGUGCCGUAGGGAAGCCGUGAAGCGAGCCACCUGGGAAGUACGGCCGCAAGGCUGAAACUUAAAGGAAUUGGCGGGGGAGCAC
rnacentral:rRNA from 1 species